AGAACGAACGCUGGCGGCAUGCCUAACACAUGCAAGUCGAACGAGAUCUUCGGAUCUAGUGGCGCACGGGUGCGUAACGCGUGGGAAUCUGCCCUUGGGUUCGGGAUAACAGUUGGAAACGACUGCUAAUACCGGAUGAUGUCGCAAGACCAAAGAUUUAUCGCCCAGGGAUGAGCCCGCGUAGGAUUAGCUAGUUGGUGAGGUAAAGGCUCACCAAGGCGACGAUCCUUAGCUGGUCUGAGAGGAUGAUCAGCCACACUGGGACUGAGACACGCCAGACUCUACGGGAGCAGCAGUGGGAAUAUGGACAAUGGGCGCAAGCCUAGAGUCCAGCAAUGCCGCGUGAGUGAUGAAGGCCGUUAGGUGUAAAGCUCUUUACCCGGAUGAUAAGUGACGGUACGGAGAAACGUAACGCCCGACUAACUCCGUGCCUAGCCACGCCGC
rnacentral:rRNA from 1 species